rnacentral:rRNA from 1 species
AUAAUUGUGUAUAACGGAUGCCUUGGUAAUUUUACUUAUGAAGGAAAUAAAUAAUUUUAGGGAGUUUUUCUUUGAUCUAAAAUUUUCCUAAUGGGGUAACCUAAUUUUUACAUUAUUCAUAUUUUAAAAUAUGAAAAAUUACGUAAUGAACUGAAACAUCUUAGUAAUUAUAGGAAAAUAAAUCAAAAUGAGAUUUCUUUAGUAGUGGCGAGCGAAAAAGAAAAUAGUUUUAUAUUUUUUAAAUAAUAAAAUUAAUGUUUUUGAAUAAACUGCCAUAGAAGGUAAAAGCCCUGUGAAAAAUUUUUAAAAAAUAUAUUUUAUAAAAUUAGUAAAACGGAACACGUGAAAUUUUGUUUGAAUAAUUUUAUUAAGGGGGACCAUCCUCUAAAAUUAAAUAUUUAGAAUUAACCGAUAGUGAACUAGUACUGUAAAGGAAAGGUGAAAAAGAACUCUUAUUAAGAGAUUGAAAUAGAUUCUGAAAUUAUACACAUAAUAUCAGUCGAAGCUUUAUAAUUUGUAACGGCGUACCUUUUGUAUAAUGGGUCAGUGAGUUAUAUAUAAUAGCAAGCUUAAAUUCUUAAUAUAGGCGCAGCGAAAGCGUAUUUUAAUAAAAUAUUUAGUUAUUAUAUAUAGACCCGAAACCAAGUGAUCUACCCAUGGCCAGGAUGAAAAAUAUAUUUGAGGUCCGAACCCACUAACGUUGAAAAGUUAGGGGAUGAGCUGUGGGUAGGGGUGAAAGGCUAAUCAAACUUGGAGAUAGCUGGUUCUCUUCGAAAACUAUUUAGGUAGUUUCUUUUGUGUUUUUAUAAUUGGUAGAGCACUGCAAUUUAAAAGGAUUUUUAAAAAAAAUCUUUUUAUAUUGUAAACUCCGAAUAUUUUUAAUAUAAUCAAUGGAAACAGACAAUGGGCCAUAACGUUCUUUGUCGAGAGGGAAACAACCCAGAUCAUUAGUUAAGGUCCUUAAAUAUUUCUAAGUGUUUUAAACGGAUUAUAAAAACUAUAACAAUUAGGAGGUAGGCUUAGAAGCAGCCAUCUUUUAAAGAAAGCGUAACAGCUCACUAAUUUAGUUUUUAUAUCCGGAAAAUUUCCGGGGCUAAGAUAUAUACCGAAACUAUGAAUGUGAUAUUUUUCACAUGGUAGAAGAGCUUUCUGUAUAUUGUUGAAUAAUUAUUGUGAAAUAAUUUGGAAAUUUCAGAAGUGAGAAUGCUGACAUGAGUAACGAUAAAAAAAGUGAAAAACUUUUUCGCCGAAAACCUAAGGUUUCCUACACAAUGUUAAUCAAUGUAGGGUUAGUCGAUACUAAGGUAAUACUUUAAAAGGUUUAACCGAUGAAAAUUAGGUUAAUAUUCCUAUACUUUUAAUAGAUUUUAUGAAAUCUAAAUUAAUGCGAUUAGCCAUUUCUUAGGUAAAAUGGUUUUUUUUAAUUUUUAUUUUUAAAUAAAUUUUAAAAAUGUUUUUAAAUUAAAAUUUAAAUAAUCUUUAUAAUUUCUGGAAAAAUUUCUAAAAUUUUUUAUUAAUAAUCGUACUAUAAACCGACACAGGUGGGUGAGAUGAGUAUUCUAAGGCGCUUGAGAAAACUUAGGGGAAGGAACUCGGCAAAUUAACACUGUAACUUUGGAAGAAGGUGUGCCUGUGAAGUACGUGAUACAUUCACGUACUUCACAGGCCUUUGAAAAAUGGUAGCUGCGACUGUUUAAUAAAAACACAGCACUCUGCUAAUAUUUUUAGAUGUAUAGGGUGUGACGCCUGCCCGGUGCUGGAAGAUUAAACAAAGGAAUUAAUAGUUUCUAGUUAAGUCCCAGUAAACGGCGGCCGUAACUAUAACGGUCCUAAGGUAGCGAAAUUCCUUGUCGGGUAAGUUCCGACCUGCACGAAUGGCGUAACGAUGGCUACACUGUCUCCCUCUAAGACUCAGUGAAAUUGAAAUGUUUGUGAAGAUGCGAACUACCUGCGGCAAGACGGAAAGACCCCAUGAACCUUUACUGUAUCUUUGUAUUGUGGUUUAAUAUUUUUUGUGUAGUAUAGGUGGGAGACAAUGAAAAUAAAACGCAAGUUUUAUUGGAGUCGAAAAUGAAAUACCACCCUUAAAAUUUUACUCCUCUUAACUUUUAUUUACUUAAAUUAAAAGGACAUUUCAUGGUUGACAGUUUGACUGGGGCGGUCUCCUCCUAAAAGAUAACGGAGGAGUACAAAGGUAUGUUAUUCACGGUUGGAAACCGUGUUUUAGUGUAAUGGCUUAAACAUGCUUAACUGUUAGACUCACUAGUCACACAGAUGCGAAAGCAGGUCAUAGUGAUCCGGUAAUUCUUUAUGGAUUGGUUAUCGCUCAACGGAUAAAAGGUACUCUGGGGAUAACAGGCUAAUACCGCCCAAGAGUUCAUAUCGACGGCGGUGUUUGGCACCUCGAUGUCGGCUCAUCUCAUCCCGGAGCUGAAAAAGGUUCCAAGGGUAUGGCUGUUCGCCAUUUAAAGAGGUACGUGAGCUGGGUUUAAAACGUCGUGAGACAGUUUGGUCCCUAUCUGCCGUGGGCGUUGGAUAUUUGAGAGAAGCUUUUUCUAGUACGAGAGGAUCGAAAUGGACAAACCAAUGGUGUUCUGAUUGUUACACCAGUAGCAACGUCAGGUAGCUAAGUUUGGUUAAUUAACUUCUGAAAGCAUAUAAGAAGGAAAUUAUUCUCAAGAUUAAAUAUCCCAAAGAUUUUUUCUUUUUAAAAGCUGUUCUAGAUUAGGACUUUGAUAGGUUAAAUGUGUAAUUAUAGUAAUAUAUUUAGCAUAUUAAUACUAAUUGCUUAAAAGACUUGAUA